GACGAACCGUGCGAACGUUAUUCGGAAUCACUGGGCUUAAAGCGCGUGUAGGCGGAUGGGAACGUCGGUAGUUGAAAGCCCCCGGCUCAACCGGGGAAGUGGUGCCGAAACGACCCGUCUGGAGGGACGUAGGGGGACCUGGAACUUCCGGUGGAGCGGUGAAAUGCGUUGAGAUCGGAAGGAACGCCCGUGGCGAAAGCGAGGUCCCGGACGUCUACUGACGCUGAGACGCGAAAGCUAGGGGAGCAAACGGG
rnacentral:rRNA from 1 species